rnacentral:rRNA from 1 species
AUUGAACGCUGUCGGCAGGCCUAACACAUGCAAGUCGAACGAGUGGCGGACGGGUGAGUAAUGUCUGGGAAACUGCCCGAUGGAGGGGGAUAACUACUGGAAACGGUAGCUAAUACCGCAUACACUCGGAUGUGCCCAGAUGGGAUUAGCUAGUAGGUGGGGUAACGGCUCACCUAGGCGACGAUCCCUAGCUGGUCUGAGAGGAUGACCAGCCACACUGGAACUGAGACACGGUCCAGACUCCUACGGGAGGCAGCAGUGGGGAAUAGUGCACAAUGGGCGCAAGCCUGAUGCAGCCAUGCCGCGUGUAUGAAGAAGGCCUUCGGGUUGUAAAGUACUUUCAGCGGGGAGGCGUUACUCGCAGAAGAAGCACCGGCUAACUCCGUGCCAGCAGCCGCGGUAAUAC